rnacentral:rRNA from 1 species
GGUUAAGCGACUAAGCGUACACGGUGGAUGCCCUGGCAGUCAGAGGCGAUGAAGGACGUGCUAAUCUGCGAUAAGCGUCGGUAAGGUGAUAUGAACCGUUAUAACCGGCGAUUUCCGAAUGGGGAAACCCAGUGUGUUUCGACACACUAUCAUUAACUGAAUCCAUAGGUUAAUGAGGCGAACCGGGGGAACUGAAACAUCUAAGUACCCCGAGGAAAAGAAAUCAACUGAGAUUCCCCCAGUAGCGGCGAGCGAACGGGGAGGAGCCCAGAGCCUGAAUCAGUGUGUGUGUUAGUGGAAGCGUCUGGAAAGGCGCGCGAUACAGGGUGACAGCCCCGUACACAAAAAUGCACAUAUUGUGAGCUCGAUGAGUAGGGCGGGACACGUGGUAUCCUGUCUGAAUAUGGGGGGACCAUCCUCCAAGGCUAAAUACUCCUGACUGACCGAUAGUGAACCAGUACCGUGAGGGAAAGGCGAAAAGAACCCCGGCGAGGGGAGUGAAAAAGAACCUGAAACCGUGUACGUACAAGCAGUGGGAGCACAGAGCAAUCUGUGUGACUGCGUACCUUUUGUAUAAUGGGUCAGCGACUUAUAUUCUGUAGCAAGGUUAACCGAAUAGGGGAGCCGAAGGGAAACCGAGUCUUAACUGGGCGUUAAGUUGCAGGGUAUAGACCCGAAACCCGGUGAUCUAGCCAUGGGCAGGUUGAAGGUUGGGUAACACUAACUGGAGGACCGAACCGACUAAUGUUGAAAAAUUAGCGGAUGACUUGUGGCUGGGGGUGAAAGGCCAAUCAAACCGGGAGAUAGCUGGUUCUCCCCGAAAGCUAUUUAGGUAGCGCCUCGUGAACUCAUCUCCGGGGGUAGAGCACUGUUUCGGCAAGGGGGUCAUCCCGACUUACCAACCCGAUGCAAACUGCGAAUACCGGAGAAUGUUAUCACGGGAGACACACGGCGGGUGCUAACGUCCGUCGUGAAGAGGGAAACAACCCAGACCGCCAGCUAAGGUCCCAAAGUCAUGGUUAAGUGGGAAACGAUGUGGGAAGGCCCAGACAGCCAGGAUGUUGGCUUAGAAGCAGCCAUCAUUUAAAGAAAGCGUAAUAGCUCACUGGUCGAGUCGGCCUGCGCGGAAGAUGUAACGGGGCUAAACCAUGCACCGAAGCUGCGGCAGCGACGCUUAUGCGUUGUUGGGUAGGGGAGCGUUCUGUAAGCCUGCGAAGGUGUGCUGUGAGGCAUGCUGGAGGUAUCAGAAGUGCGAAUGCUGACAUAAGUAACGAUAAAGCGGGUGAAAAGCCCGCUCGCCGGAAGACCAAGGGUUCCUGUCCAACGUUAAUCGGGGCAGGGUGAGUCGACCCCUAAGGCGAGGCCGAAAGGCGUAGUCGAUGGGAAACAGGUUAAUAUUCCUGUACUUGGUGUUACUGCGAAGGGGGGACGGAGAAGGCUAUGUUGGCCGGGCGACGGUUGUCCCGGUUUAAGCGUGUAGGCUGGUUUUCCAGGCAAAUCCGGAAAAUCAAGGCUGAGGCGUGAUGACGAGGCACUACGGUGCUGAAGCAACAAAUGCCCUGCUUCCAGGAAAAGCCUCUAAGCAUCAGGUAACAUCAAAUCGUACCCCAAACCGACACAGGUGGUCAGGUAGAGAAUACCAAGGCGCUUGAGAGAACUCGGGUGAAGGAACUAGGCAAAAUGGUGCCGUAACUUCGGGAGAAGGCACGCUGAUAUGUAGGUGAAGUCCCUCGCGGAUGGAGCUGAAAUCAGUCGAAGAUACCAGCUGGCUGCAACUGUUUAUUAAAAACACAGCACUGUGCAAACACGAAAGUGGACGUAUACGGUGUGACGCCUGCCCGGUGCCGGAAGGUUAAUUGAUGGGGUCAGCGCAAGCGAAGCUCUUGAUCGAAGCCCCGGUAAACGGCGGCCGUAACUAUAACGGUCCUAAGGUAGCGAAAUUCCUUGUCGGGUAAGUUCCGACCUGCACGAAUGGCGUAAUGAUGGCCAGGCUGUCUCCACCCGAGACUCAGUGAAAUUGAACUCGCUGUGAAGAUGCAGUGUACCCGCGGCAAGACGGAAAGACCCCGUGAACCUUUACUAUAGCUUGACACUGAACAUUGAGCCUUGAUGUGUAGGAUAGGUGGGAGGCUUAGAAGUGUGGACGCCAGUCUGCAUGGAGCCGACCUUGAAAUACCACCCUUUAAUGUUUGAUGUUCUAACGUUGACCCGUAAUCCGGGUUGCGGACAGUGUCUGGUGGGUAGUUUGACUGGGGCGGUCUCCUCCUAAAGAGUAACGGAGGAGCACGAAGGUUGGCUAAUCCUGGUCGGACAUCAGGAGGUUAGUGCAAUGGCAUAAGCCAGCUUGACUGCGAGCGUGACGGCGCGAGCAGGUGCGAAAGCAGGUCAUAGUGAUCCGGUGGUUCUGAAUGGAAGGGCCAUCGCUCAACGGAUAAAAGGUACUCCGGGGAUAACAGGCUGAUACCGCCCAAGAGUUCAUAUCGACGGCGGUGUUUGGCACCUCGAUGUCGGCUCAUCACAUCCUGGGGCUGAAGUAGGUCCCAAGGGUAUGGCUGUUCGCCAUUUAAAGUGGUACGCGAGCUGGGUUUAGAACGUCGUGAGACAGUUCGGUCCCUAUCUGCCGUGGGCGCUGGAGAAUUGAGGGGGGCUGCUCCUAGUACGAGAGGACCGGAGUGGACGCAUCACUGGUGUUCGGGUUGUCAUGCCAAUGGCACUGCCCGGUAGCUAAAUGCGGAAGAGAUAAGUGCUGAAAGCAUCUAAGCACGAAACUUGCCCCGAGAUGAGUUCUCCCUGACUCCUUGAGAGUCCUGAAGGAACGUUGAAGACGACGACGUUGAUAGGCCGGGUGUGUAAGCGCAGCGAUGCGUUGAGCUAACCGGUACUAAUGAACCGUGAGGCUUAACCUU